rnacentral:lncRNA from 1 species
GAUGCACGCGAGUUGCUCGGCGCCUUCUUCUUCUUGAAUAGUUGGGUGACCCGCCAUUAGACCACUAAUUUUGGCUUUGCUCGUUCUCUCCAAGCCCAUUGAGAAUUAAUUUAGUUGAUUGUCUGUAGAAUUCAUGGUGGUGAUGGACCUUUAUCUGCCCAAUGUUCUCAUGGAGUUUUCAUGCAACUAGCAGGUCGUCCAUGUUGUUCUUUAUGCAUUUAAAAAAAUACUAAUUAAAGGGAAAGGCAUGAAUGUGUAAGUUUUGCAGCAGUAGAUUCAGAGUGGGUUAAAAAAAAUUAUACAAUUCUUCAACCUCUUAAGAAUUAUGCAAUCAUCUCCUCGGAGUAGUGAGGAGGGCAUGCGUCAGAGGCCUGUCGACAGAGGAAGUGCAUGUUUGUAUUUCAUCAGGGGGAUAGUUGUGAGCAAUGCAUACAUCUAGGUUUCCUAUUUUUAUUUUAGAGACAAACAACUUAGUUGUGGGAUUGUCGUGUUAGUUUUUCAAAAUGAAAAUUCAGUGAUGAUCAUGUUUUAUCAGCACAGGUUCAGAGAUAACUUUAAUGAGUAAACAAAUAAUUUUCAUGCAGGUCAGUUCUGAUGUGUGUUGAAUAGCUCAAUUUUGUUUUGAUCUGCUACGUUUAGUCAUUGUUUGCUCUAGCAUCAACACUAACUGUCACACGCACGCCGCCCCAUGGACGCCCCUGACUGAGGUGCGGGUCGGUGCUUGCUGUCGGUCCAUCCGCAUCGGCGCAGUGGCAUGUACCCCUUGAAAGCUUUGAAGCCUGAAAAAGCCGCAGGACCAGAUCUUCCCAUCAACCUGAAGAUGUGAAGUACGCUGUGUCUCCCGGUAUUUCUGUUGCUUCCGCUGGAUGACGCUCUAUUGUCGUUGUUGCCUCAGCCCUCCCAAUUGUCAUGUUCUUCCCUUCUCUUGCUGCUCGAUGAAGUUGGUCAUGCUGCUAGCUUUGCAUUCUAUGGAGUCUCUAUCUCUACCUAUGAUAAAUUCAGUAUCGUUCUACACACGUGUUUGUACCAAUCCAAGCCCUGGCUGAUGAUAUAGUUUUGACUUGUAAUGAUCUGACUAUGUAUUACCUUUUAUGGGAUGUAUGUAUGCCAGUAUACAUGAUUAAGUUCUAGGCAAAAGAGGGUGUCAUAUUUUAUCUCGGUGUGGAACAUCAUCUUUUAGUUGAACCUAGAUGUUUAUUCAAUCUGAAUUUAGAUGUUUUAUUUAGCAUGUACUAGCUAGCUUGUGAUUUCCUAUGCUGCAAACUGUAACUAAUUUUCUUUAGCUGCUGGCUUUGAUACUAUAGAUGACUGGAGCACCUUGUGGUGACUUUGUUCUGCUCGCGAUGUAGUUCUAGAGCAGCUUCAGCGGCAAGGUAAAAAUUCAAUUUCGGAGAGUGGGAUAACUCCCACUAUUUACACUCAUUUUGAAUUGACAGAUCCUAUAAUAGCAUGGAUAAUUGUGCAGAUGCCAUAGUUUCCUAAUUACUACGAUGAUUUGCUGGAUGAGGAGGUGGGUGAGAUGAUGCACAAGGAGGUUGUCGCCGGUCAGAGGAGGAGGGCGACAAGGCUGGAGAGCCGAGGCAGAGGCUUACGGGGAAGAGAAGAAACGACACCUUAUACAUAAAGGAUACCCGCUCCCAGGUGCCAGGAGGACAGCCGUGGCUGACGGAGGUGUGGCUUUCUAAAAACUAAACCUUUCCUCUGUAAUGCAUAGCUUCUCUGUAGAACAUCCAAUUGUUCUUAGGUAGUAUGACUGGAUAACAUCAUUAUUUUGGUCAAACUAAAAUUUACAGAGGGAGGCCUAGGGGAACGUUAGGUUAAGUAAGGUUGGUUUUGUAUCUUCUGUAUUUUAUUGAAAAUGAAGUGCUUCCACCAACAUGAAUAUUCCACGAAAAUCAGACUUCAUAUUUUGUAAAACAUGAAGGUCCAGUCUCUAUAGAUAUCCUCAGUAGGUCAAGGAUAUAAAUUAUUAUCUGCAUUUAUCUCGUGUAUUUUGAUGGAUGGUUGUGGCUGAACCAGCAAAUGCUCAUUGAGAUUUAGAUUACAGGAUAAGAGUGUCGAGGAAGUUAACACAUGAAGUAAUCAUAUGAUUCUACCAUGACUUAGUGCUGCACAUAUGUUGAGGUAGUUACGCAGACAUCUGUUCUACCAAGGUUCUUACUUAUAUGCACUUGUACAUUCUGUUGUUAUAGUUGAUUGAAAUGCUCUAACUUAUGGUUUGCCAUAUGGCCAUGGAUUGUAUAUAGUUUGGUUUCAACACUCCCAAAUAAUAAAUGGUUCCUUUGUUUGUUUUUGUGUUUCAUAGCAAGGAUUAAAUAAUUAGAACCCAAAAGUGAGUUUCAGGAUUUGUAAUGAAAUCCUAUUUGUCGCCUUAUGUCGAGGCAGCCAUGACGCUCUCUGUUGCAAAUAUACCACAACUAAUUUUACAACUCACCCAGUCGUUAUUCCUUAUGAGCUGAUUUAUAUAACUCGGGAUAUAAUGUCCAAGAUUUCUCACGAAUGUACAUUCUAGAUUCUGUGAGGUUAGAAGGUACUUUUAAGAAUAUAGCUGAACUCCAGAUUAUCUUCCUUUUGAUCAACGCUUCUACUAGAGUUCAUUAACUAUGUCAGAUGUCUGUUGGUGUUGGCAUCACAUAGUCCCUGUCAUGAGCAUGCCAUGUUCUCUGAAGUUUACCGAAACAACAAAUAUUUAGUUGAACAUUGACAGCGUUUCUUGUUUUUUCUACUUAAGGAGUUCGAAAAAUUACAGGGUUUUUAAGUUUUAUCUAUGCUUUGUUGGAAGGUAUGCUCGGAUCACUUCUAGAGAUCUGGAGAGGAAAGUUUGUUCCUUCCUUACAAGAGCCAUAUAAACAAUAAGGAAAAGCUCUUUCCUAGCAUAAGGUGAAUCUUGUAUAGUUUAAUUUGGGUAUAUUUUCUUAUAAAUGUGUAUUGUUGCAUACAUAAAUUGUCUCAGUUAGACGAACAAUUUUUUAUUUAGCGGUGACAUACUUGGGACACCAGGAAUAGGAUUGCGGCAGGGUUGGCCAAAGGACUGCACUACUUGCACUUUUUGUACAGCCCAGGAUACCAUAUUGCAACCUAAGGCCAUUGGUAAUUCAGUUAAAUAUAUAUAUUCUCAUUUUUCAGACUUCAGUCAUCAAUUUAGUUCAAUCUGUUAGCUUACUGAUUGCUGCAUAACUACCAUUUCUCAAAUUUACAAUGCGGUUUCUGUGUUGAUUUCAAAAUGGUGAGAUAUAGUUAGUUAUUCACAUUUUAGCAGGGACAAAUCUUGAUUCUUAAAUGCAGGCUAACUGUCAAUUAAUCUUUUAUGUAUAAUACCAACAUGUGUCGUGAUAAUAUAAGAAUGCAACAUUGUAGUGCCAUAUAAUCUAUCAUUUUUUUGGAACCAUAAGCAUGCAGCAUGUACUGCCAAAACUAUUUAUCAUAUGCUGUCAGAGAGAUCUAGCUCAAUAUGGGUUCAGAAGGAAAUUGUCAAAGAUGAAGUGGUACACAUCUACAAUUAUAGUAAAUUUUCUUUAGGGAUUCUAUUACCAAGAAGCACUUGAGUGGUUUGCUCCAUGGUAUAACUAACGAGCAUUUACUGGCUUCCUUCGUUAGUGUUUAUUUGGCAACGGGCAAAGCCAAGGCGUCGCCGGCGAUGCGCUAUCGUUCAGGCGCAUCAUCAAGGCCCGUCUUGACGUGAGCAUGAGGUUGCGUGCUGAAUAUCAUCUCUGUCGGCUGCACCUUGAUCGAUAGGAUGGAAGAUGAGAUGUGUGGACCACCGUUUAUUGGUUGCAGAGAAUUUUUUGUGGGGAGGUGAGACUAUGUAUGUGGGCUAGGAAAGUGCGUCGUCUGUUUCAGUAGCGGUUUCAGAAGCGGAAGAGCAAACAAUUUCGGGCUAGACGGCUGGCGUUGAGUCUUGACUGUUAGGCUUACGGAACUGCUGGAUGAGAGUAUAGUAGAGGCAAGCAUAGCCCAGCGAACAAAUAGGAAAAAUAAAAUAAUUGAUGAUGGAGUUUAUAGGUCAGACCCGAGGAGGUGGGCUUGAGUGGGACUGCAUGAGAUAUGACGUGGCUCGAUGUGAUUAGAUGCGGAGGUGUCUAUGCUGCAUGUUGAGAUAAAUCAAGGAGUGGGGGUGAACAAAUUAAGUAGCAACGCAUGGGUAUUACACCCAAUGUAGUGCCAUAAAUCUCAUCGUAUUGUAUAACCCUCAUCUCAUUGUAUUGUAUAUAUUCAUAUAUUGAUGCAUCAAGGGGUUGCUAAUUGUUGCGAAGUGACAUCUACAUUGCCAACAGAGAAAAUAAAGUUAGUGCGAAGAAGACACGCGUCAGGGAGGAAGUAGGGCAUGCACAAUAGAAUGGGGAUAUAUUUAGGAUGUGAUGAAAAACUGCAUGCUAUAGCAGAGAGACUUGGAUUGGAGGCAAGUCGAGUUAUGGGCGGAGAUGAGAUGACGAAGACAAGAUGAAGACUUGUGGCGGGGAAAAACACGACAUGAUUUAGACGACAAGGGUGCCAUCCCUCCUAACUGCGCCACCCCGGCGUGCUCGAUGUUGACGCUGAGGGUGCCGUCUCUCCACCUCGUUGUGCCACACCAUUGUGCCUCAUGUAAACGAUGCGGGCGUCGUCCCUCCUCGCUGCGUCACACCUUUGUGCCGGUUGUAGAGACGAGGGCGCCGUCAGCGGCGAGCCUUUCUGCACCGAACAAUAGGAUCCAUCUGACCAUGAUGCCUGAUUGGCGAGCGCACGGGCUCCAUGCCGAUGUGGUGGCGGGAGGGGUUGUCAUCAGAGAAGGAGGCCAACGAUGCCAUAGCGGGGAGAGGAGGAUGUGGGCGACACCAUUGNNN